AUUUUUUAUUCCCUUAUUCUCAGCAAUUGUCUGGUCAACUGUCAUGUGGGAACAGUGUCUAGCUGUUGACACCUUGUAGCAGCGUGUGAGCGUCGUGAGCGUGUUGUGCAUCGAUUAACAGGUAAGUCUUGAUUGUCUUGAUAUUUAUUAAAUGUUAUAAGUAAAAUGUAAUUCGUCUGACAUUAUGUUUAUUUUCAACGAUUGUGUCUAAAAUUAAAGUAAAUCAAAUAACUGAAUCCUGACCCACGACCACGUGGUUUUUAUAUUGUAAUUGUUUUCGCGUCCAAAACAUGGCAGUAAUUACAUAAUAACUAGAAUAAUUAUAUUUAUUAUACUGUUAUCACUAGGAAGUUGUAACACGUGUUGUACGGUAGGCAAAAUUGCUUAUCUGAAUUUGUGUUUUUGUAAAGGUUUUUAAAUAUCGCAGAGAAAAUGGCUGCUUAACGCUGACUCGUACUGCAGUUUGUUUAUUAUGGAGGAUAAUCCGGCCAAUCGUUUAACAUCUACCCUUUCACCGAUUUUUGAAUUUGUUUUGAAAUCUGAUACUUUUGUUGAUAAAAGUGGGUUGAUGUUGGCAGUUUUUGAAACGGACGAAAAACCUAUGGUAUUGUGUACCGCACCGCGCCGAUUUGGCAAAACUGUAAACUUAUCUAUGAUGCAACAAUUCUUGGAGUUGGAAGUAGAUGAAAAUGGAGAAGAGAAAACAACGGUUUUGGAAGAAAAAGACAAUUACAAACUGUUCAGUUCAGCAAGGUUCAACUUAAAAGUCAUGGAGAAUAAGAAGUUUGUAAAAGCUCAUUUCGGACAAUAUCCGAUAAUCGAAAUAAAUUUUCUCUGUUGUGCUCACGUGACAAGCAAAUCUGAUGCAGUGAAUGCGUGUAGAAGCGCUAUAUCGGAAGCUUUUAGGCAAUACAGAUACCUUUACGAAUCCAAAUUGUCACCGUUGGAAGACUAUGAAAAAAAGCAUUGCGAACAAUGGUGUGGCGUAUUUACCUACAAAGGAAUUCCAGAUGACGAAGUAGUCAAGGGGUUGGGAUGUUUGGCAGCUUAUCUGAAUAAGUUUCAUAAAAGAAUGGUUUUUCUACUCGUUGACGAGUACGACUCGAUCAUUUCAAAUGCGUUGUAUAAAGUGAAGAACGCUGAUCCAGAGACUGAGCUUAAAGAGCUAGAGAAAGCUGCCUCAUUCCCAAUUCAAGUAAUUGGAUAUGCUCUAAAAAAAUUUCCUGAGAUCUUUAAAGGAGCGUAUAUUACAGGAAUUUUGGAUGUGGGUGGUGUAGCGAUUUCCACCCUAUUGGGUAAUGUAUUGCGAUGGCAAUUCGGAACCAACAAUCUGUGCCAAGAUUUCUAUGGAUUCACUGAAGAUGAAGUUUGUACUCUAUUUAAUCGGUUUGCAGUAAAGGAGGAAUUGAGAGAAAAAGCGAAGGCUAAAUAUAAUGGGUAUUUAAAUGGCUCGAAACAAUGCCUAUAUAAUCCUCAAACGAUUGUGCAGUUUUUGGGAGAUUUAUCUCUGGGAGAAGGUGCUUUAAAAAAUUAUUGGCAACAAUCUGGUUACAUUCACAAUAUGUAUAAACUACUUGAAGAGGGUAGCGUGAGAAGGUUGUUGUAUGAACUUCUACAAGGUGUUAAAGAAGAUUUUCAAUUCACGUUAAAACCGUUAGACUUAAGUGAUCUGAAAUCUUUGCAUAACAUAUUAGCUAAACAAAGUUUGACUUGUCGCGAAGAAAUAGUUGUUCGAUUUCUUGUAUCUCUAGGAUACUUAACAUAUUCAUUUGAUGAUCACAAACUCCAAAUACCUAUCCCUGAGCUAAUUGAUGAAUUUAUGGAGCUGCUACGAGAUUAUUUUUUUGAAAGAUUUGGUAUUAACAGUGAAUUGGCUGAAGAUUGUUCAGCAUCAUUUUCUGAGCUAACCAAACUCUGUGAUGAAGGUGAUUCAUUAGCAAAGUUCAAAGAAGAAUUAGCAAUUUUUCAAAAUAGUAUAACCUGUCUACUUCAACGUUCAACACUUACCGAUCCAUUGAAUGAGGCAACUUUACAGAGUAUAAUUACAUUGACAUGUAGUCAAGCAGGAUUUCUCUUCGGAAACGAAAUAAUAAUUCCAAAUCAGAGAACCAAAGUUGAUAUAGUACUGUUUAAUGAUAAAUCUGGGAUAAUAAUGGAAUUAAAGUGUGAUCCAAAUACUGUACAAGACGCAUUUAAACAAAUCUUUCAAAAUCGGUACUACAAUGUUUUCACAAAUAAGAAGUAUUUUGAUAAACGUAAGAAAUUUCCUUCUCUUUCUUUUGUUAUGGCAAUGCAUGUGGAUUCUGACAACAAAGCAUCUGUGAUGUGCCUGCGACGCGAGGAUGUUAUUCACGUUCUGGAUGAUCUGCAACUUGACGCUAGAGAGUCAUCGCUAGAAGAUCGCAUUGAGAUAGCUGUUAAUUCUAUGUGUGAACGUUUCAUUAACAGUUGUUGCGAAAGAGCAAUUCUUGUCUCUUAACAUACCAGAGAAACCGGUUCAGUUUUUGUUUGAAUUUAAAGUAGCUAUUUUUAAGUUCAACGCGGCAUGUUAAUUUCAGUUUCGAUCAACUAAAUCUGUUCCAUUUCAUAUUUCAUAUUUAUAUAUAGGUAUAAUAAAACAUGAAUUACAAAGUU